UCCCAUAUGCAGAUCAUGACUGGUGCUGUUUCUGGAUCAUCUCAUGGUCCUUCUAUGUUUGCUGAAUCAUCACGCGGCCAGUUAGACGGGCCAUCGAAUCCAUACUUUGUUUUUGAUACCCCUCAGGGAACCCGUUACUGGAUUCCUAACGUCGCUGAUAAGUUCAUACCAGUGUGUGGGAAAUCUUAUCCAACUUUUGCGGAUGUUCUUUCCAUGUAUGAACUUUAUGCGUUUGAAGCAGGUUUUUCU